CUUUGUGAUUUAGUUUUCCUCGAUGUAGUAAUUACUUUGUUCUCGUUUGCGAGUUCGAACAACAUUCCUGAGUGAAGUGUUAGAUGUAAAGGAACGUCAACAGUCAACUCAUAUGUCAACCCUUACCAACAAUUCAUCAAAAAGGAAUAAAAGUGACAUUAGAUUUAACAGCUUGUUAAGAAACACACUUUAAGGUUUCAUCUCCCGAAGUCACAGUUGACCUUAGAUAUGUUGGACUAUUCUUUCGAGGUUUUAGUGUUAUAAGUAUAUAUUCAUCAUUGGCUUUUAAAUUUUUAGUUUUGAGUAUCCCUAAUGGAGAUAAACUCAGAAAAGGCACAUUCAAUAUGUAGCAGACUGAAAGAAACCUGUAGAUUUACCAUUCAUUAGUAGAACUGUUUAGUGUAUAUCUUGCUUUCGGCAUUCUAAUUGGGGCACAAGGAAACCUUUUCAGAGAGCAUUUCGCAAUAAACAAGCCGAUCUAUAAAAUUCACGAAAUUAAAUAAUUGCUAUCUCAGACGUUACUAAAACAUUUCAUGUUUGGCAAUCAACUAAAGUACGGUACGGUAAUAUCUGUCAAUAAUUUUAUCAAAAGUUUAUGUGAUAGAACAUGUCAGCCUUGAAACUACAUAUUACAACAAUAAUUAAAAUGAAUGACUCAGAUUAUAUAAGACAAUGUUUGUUAAUGUUUCACUGAAUACUCUAUAAAAUCUAAAUUCUGCUAUUCCUGGUGUUAAUUACAAUAUAAUCAUAGGAACCGCAAGCAAAUAAUGAUGUUAUUAGAUAUUUUUUGUCGCAUGAAAGAUCUCCUAGCUGUACAAUUAUGUCACGCUUUUAUUAUACGAUUUUAUACCAGAAUAAUAGGAGGAGUUAAACUAAUUUGUGAAACUAAAAUAAAAAGAUACUGCAAUUAAAGUUAUUUGUACUUU